GCCCCUGUAGUCCAACGGCAGAGACAAUGGUUUCAAAAGCCAUCAAGUGUGGGUUCGAAUCCCACCGGGGGCACCC
rnacentral:tRNA from 1 species